AGCGAACGCUGGCGGCAGGCCUAAUACAUGCAAGUCGAGCGCACCUUCGGGUGAGCGGCGGACGGGUGAGUAACGCGUGGGAAUGUGCCCUUUGGUACGGAACAACUGAGGGAAACUUCAGCUAAUACCGUAUGUGCCCUUCGGGGGAAAGAUUUAUCGCCAUUGGAGCAGCCCGCGUUGGAUUAGGUAGUUGGUGAGGUAAAGGCUCACCAAGCCUACGAUCCAUAGCUGGUCUGAGAGGAUGAUCAGCCACACUGGGACUGAGACACG
rnacentral:rRNA from 1 species